rnacentral:rRNA from 1 species
UACGGGGGGGGCAAGCGUUGUUCGGAAUUACUGGGCGUAAAGGGCUCGUAGGUGGCCAAUUAAGUCAGACGUGAAAUCCCCAGGCUUAACCUGGGAACUGCGUCUGAUACUGGUUGGCUUGAAUUCGGGAGAGGGAUGCAGAAUUCCAGGUGUAGCGGUGAAAUGCGUAGAUAUCUGGAGGAAUACCGGUGGCAAAGGCGGCAUCCUGGACCGAGAUUGACACUGAGGAGCGAAAGCCAGGGGAGCAAACGGG